ACUCAAAGGAAUUGACGGGGGCCCGCACAAGCAGCGGAGCGUGUGGUUUAAUUCGAUGCAACACGCAGAACCUUACCUGGGCUUGACAUGGCCGGGCAAGCCGUGGAAACACGGCCCUCCUUCGGGACCGGGUCACAGAUGUUGCAUGGCUGUCGUCAGCUCGUGUCGUGAGAUGUUGGGUUAAGUCCCGCAACGAGCGCAACCCUCGUGUGAUGUUGUAUUUUUCAUCGCAGACUGCCCUCAAAAGGGGAGGAAGGUGGGGAUGACGUCAAGUCCGCAUGGCUCUUACGUCCAGGGCGACACACACGCUACAAUGGCUGGGACAAUGCGCUGCAACCGGGCAACCGGUAGCGAACCGCGAAACCCAGUCUCAGUUCGGAUAAUCGGCUGCAACCCGCCGGUUUGAAGACGGAGUUGCUAGUAACCGCAUGACAGCAGAGUGCGGUGAAUACGUUCCCGGGCCUUGUACACACCGCCCGU
rnacentral:rRNA from 1 species